UUUGCCUCCAUCACCGCCAAUCUAAAACAUGGCCUCCCCAGUACGUGCUUGCUCUCUGGCUUCCCAAGGGCAGACUGAGGGCAGAUGUCCCCUGAUCAUGGCCCCCACUUCAAUAAAGAGAAACUUUCAAGCUCCAAGCAGUACUUUAGACACCUGAUGACAUCUACCUUCUAUCAGGAACCUCUAAAUUGAUCCCCUGGAGAAUACCCUGCUGCUGUUGUUGACACUUCAAUGUCCCUUUUCAGCAUGAAGCAGCCAGAGUGGUCAUUGCCCCCUAUCCCUAAUAGCAGUUAUCUUCCAUUCCUCUGAAGGGUGGACAAGAAUGUUAGGAGUCAGGCAGUAUAAUAGGCAGUUACAGUCUCUUGGCCUUGGUGAAGUUACCUUUUUACUCUUCACAGUGUGUGACCUCCUUGUCCUCAUAUGUGGUUCAAAAGGGCACUUGUAUGAUGUUCCUGUGUUGAACUUUGUCCUCCAAUGUCUAUUCCAACAUCUUAGGGUCACAGAACAAAAGGUUACCUUUUUGGCAGAAGUCUUGCUGGCAGAAUUUAUUCCGAAUGCAGAGGGGGCAGAUGUGGAGCCCCUGGAUCUCUGCCUGCUACCUGGAGAAUGUGACUCAUGGCUAACCUGCCUGUGAUCUGAGCCACAGCUACCAGCCAUGCAUGUGGAAUGUAACCUGUAACAUGACUGGAGGAUCUAGAGGGAUAGACGUGCCUUCUAAACAAUUACAAUGUUAUUGUUGGGUAGGAAGACAGUUGGGGAACACCCUUCUGCCUUCCCCUUUCCUAAUCUAUAUGAUUAGUUUGUGCUCACUUUAUAAUAAAUGGACAUGCACCAUCAGACCCUGGUGGUCCUUGUGCCAGAAUACCAUUGCCUCACUCCCUCAAUAAUCUCAGGGCCUGCCAUCAGGUAACCCCUCCAAGACUUUGUGUUGCUCAGGUGUUGGAUGUUCAACCCAUGGGAGGCUUGAGUCACCAUUGCCAAACUUA